UACGGAGGGUGCAAGCGUUAUCCGGAUUCACUGGGUUUAAAGGGUGCGUAGGAGGGCAGGUAAGUCAGUGGUGAAAUCUCCAAGCUUAACUUGGAAACUGCCGUUGAUACUAUCUGUCUUGAAUAUUGUGGAGGUGAGCGGAAUAUGUCAUGUAGCGGUGAAAUGCUUAGAUAUGACGUAGAACACCAAUUGCGAAGGCAGCUCGCUACACAUAUAUUGACUCUGAGGCACGAAAGCGUGGGGAUCAAACGGG
rnacentral:rRNA from 1 species